UACGGAGGGUGCAAGCGUUAUCCGGAUUCACUGGGUUUAAAGCGUGCGCAGGCGGUUCGUCGUGUCCGAUGUGAAAGCCCCGGGCUCAACCUGGGAAUGGCAUUGGAAACUGGCGGGCUUGAGUGUGGCAGAGGGGGGUGGAAUUCCGCGUGUAGCAGUGAAAUGCGUAGAGAUGCGGAGGAACACCGAUGGCGAAGGCAGCCCCCUGGGCUGACACUGACGCUCAGGCACGAAAGCGUGGGGAGCAAACAGG
rnacentral:rRNA from 1 species